rnacentral:misc_RNA from 1 species
GAUGAAGAACGUAGCGAAAUGCGAUACGUAAUGUGAAUUGCAAAUUCAGUGAAUCAUCGAGUCUUUGAACGCACAUUGCGCCCCCUGGUAUUCCGGGGGGCAUGCCUGUCCGAGCGUCAUUACUGCCCUCAAGCCCGGCUUGUGUGUUGGGCCCCGUCCUCCGAUCCCGGGGGCCGGGCCCGAAAGGCAGCGGCGGCACCGCGUCCGGUCCUCGAGCGUAUGGGGCUUUGUCACCCGCUCUGUAGGCCCGGCCGGCGCUUGCCGAUCAACCCCAAUUUUUUAUAGGUUGACCUCGGAUCAGGUAGGGAUACCCGCUGAACUUAAGCAUAUCAAUAAGCGGAGGA